rnacentral:rRNA from 1 species
UACGUGGGGUGCGAGCGUUGUCCGGAAUUACUGGGCGUAAAGAGCUUGUAGGCGGUUUGUCGCGUCGUUUGUGAAAACUUGGGGCUCAACCCCAAGCUUGCAGGCGAUACGGGCAGACUAGAGUACUUCAGGGGAGACUGGAAUUCCUGGUGUAGCGGUGAAGUGCGCAGAUAUCAGGAGGAACACCGGUGGCGAAGGCGGGUCUCUGGGAAGUAACUGACGCUGAGAAGCGAAAGCGUGGGUAGCGAACAGG